UACGGAGGAUGCGAGCGUUAUCCGGAUUUAUUGGGUUUAAAGGGUGCGCAGGCGGAUUUUUAAGUCAGCGGUCAAAUCGUGGGGCUCAACCCCAUCCAGCCGUUGAAACAGGGGAUCUAGAGUGUGCGAGAGGUAUGCGGAAUGCGUGGUGUAGCGGUGAAAUGCAUAGAUAUCACGCAGAACCCCGAUUGCGAAGGCAGCAUACCGGUGCACAACUGACGCUCAGGCACGAAAGCGUGGGUAUCGAACAGG
rnacentral:rRNA from 1 species